rnacentral:rRNA from 1 species
AUUGAACGCUGGCGGCAUGCCUUACACAUGCAAGUCGAACGGCAGCACGGACUUCGGUCUGGUGGCGAGUGGCGAACGGGUGAGUAAUGUAUCGGAACGUGCCUAGUAGUGGGGGAUAACUAGUCGAAAGAUUAGCUAAUACCGCAUACGACCUACGGGUGAAAGUGGGGGAUCGCAAGACCUCAUGCUAUUAGAGCGGCCGAUAUCAGAUUAGCUAGUUGGUGGGGUAAAGGCCCACCAAGGCAACGAUCUGUAGCUGGUCUGAGAGGACGACCAGCCACACUGGGACUGAGACACGGCCCAGACUCCUACGGGAGGCAGCAGUGGGGAAUUUUGGACAAUGGGGGCAACCCUGAUCCAGCAAUGCCGCGUGUGUGAAGAAGGCCUUCGGGUUGUAAAGCUCUUUCGGCCGGGAAGAAAUCGCACAGGCUAAUAUCUUGUGUGGAUGACGGUACCGGAAUAAGAAGCACCGGCUAACUACGUGCCAGCCGCCGCCGUAACAC